rnacentral:lncRNA from 1 species
UCCGAUAUAUAUCAUAUUUCCCCCUCUGAGAACUAGUUUUUCUCUCUUUUGUAAUUCUCCCUCCAUUUUUAGUAGAUUAUGUUUGUACAUAUAGUUUAGAUAGAUUAGGGAGAUUUUUGGGAUUUCAUGGAGCUCAAGAGCAAUUAGCAACAUGGAUUGAAAAGCUUGAAAGGAUGGGAAUUCUUGGAAACUGAUGAAGCUUGACAGAGUUUAUUCUUAUCCAUUUGUUUCCUUUGAUUUUGUAACCCAUAAAUGUUGUCUAUAUUGUUACUUAUAUCUAGUUCAAGAGCUAUGAAAUAAUUAUUGGCUCUAAGGUUAUAAUGGAACCCUUUGUUAAUUUAAAUUGAAUGUCCUAUCUCUUUAGUUGGCACCAUAUGGUUUGGUUCAAUAUAUUCAUGCUUAAUGAUUCUUGCUAAGAAAUUAGUGAUGAUUUUGGUAAUAUAUAUGAUGUUGAAAGAGGGAUUGUAGAUUUACA